CAGCAGCCGCGGGAAUACGGAGGGAGCUAGCGUUGUUCGGAAUUACUGGGCGUAAAGCGCGCGUAGGCGGUUACUCAAGUCAGAGGUGAAAGCCCGGGGCUCAACCCCGGAACUGCCUUUGAAACUAGGUGACUAGAAUCUUGGAGAGGUCAGUGGAAUUCCGAGUGCAGAGGUGAAAUUCGUAGAUAUUCGCAGGAACACCAGUGGCGAAGGCGGCUGACUGGUCCACAACUGACGCUGAGGUGCGAAAGCGUGGGGAGCAAACAGGAUUAGAUACCCCUGUAGUCCCUGUCUCUUAUAC
rnacentral:rRNA from 1 species